AUUAAAUUUUUUUAGUACAUGUCUUUUAAACACAAAAGUGAUGAAAUUUUAUUUUAUUUGCGACAUAAAAAGAGAGAUAUGGUUAAAACUCUUAAGUUUGUGUAUGAUAUGAUUUUAUUUAUUUUCCUAUAUCUGGUUGCAAAAAAUGUUGCCGAAAGUAUUGAAUGCAGAACCGUUGCUGAUUGUCCAAAACUUAUAUCAAGCAAGUUUGUGAUUAAGUGCAUUGAAAAACGAUGUGUAGCUCAGUUCUUUGACUAGUAAAAUAUUUAUGCAAUAUCCCUCAUGCUAGAAUAUUCCGUUGUUGCCAUUUAGUUAUUUUGUUCUCUCCAAAUCAUUAUGUUUUUCAUUUCUUUUUAUUUACUUGAUUUCAAGGACCUUGCAAUUAUGGUUUUUUACCUGAAAACAUUGGUAAUGAAGUAAAAUAUGACACUAAAGAAUAUUAAUAAAGAUGGAACUUCAUUCAUCCAAGUUAUAGAGCCUUUUGGGGAAGCAUUUUUGUGUUGGAUGAGUUCUUGUAUUUGUGCAUUAACUUAUUGAAUAUAUUGGAGUUUGUUGUUUAAGGUUUA